GGUGACAUAGCUCAGUUAGUAGAGUGCUUGCCUCCCGUGUACAAGACCCUGGGUUCAAUCCCCAGCACCA
rnacentral:tRNA from 1 species